rnacentral:lncRNA from 1 species
GCUAAGAACAUUUAGCUCAAAUAACACAACCAUGUAAGAAAUGGAGAGAUUUUGAAACAAAUAUGAUCUCACUACGGAUGUGGCAAAGUAAAAAAAAUAGAGCUAAAUUAUUUAUAAAAAAUAUUAAAAUAUCUAGAGUGACUAGACUUGAAUACAUGUUCUUCCCAAUCUCAUAAGGUGGUACAAACACAUGAAAGUUUGUAUCAUCUACCUUGAUAUGUUACUGGCAUUAAGGUUGGUGAAGAUCACAUCAAUUAGUAGAAACUCGGUCUUUCUUGCAUUUGAAAUCCCACUAAAUUAGUUAAAAUAAGAAAAGUUAUGGUAAAAGACUAAGAAUUAAGUUUGGUGAUUAUGAAAUUCGUUUGUAAAAACCUAAGGGGAUAUUUAUAAAGGUUUAAGAAAUUUAAAUAAACUUAAAAACGAUGUUAGUCACAUAUGUGCCACUCAAGGACGACAUAAUUGAUGCCUAAUGAAGGGGAGUUGGUGCAUGAAAUUUCCAACAUGGUGUGUGCCAUAUCCUUAGACAAUGCCAUGCCUCUCCCAACUGCAAUAGAGAAAAAAUUAUAAGUAAAGGGAAAGAGAAAAGGAAAAAUUAGUGGGAGAUGAUGAUAUGAGAGUAACGACCAAGCAUGAAUUGUGAUUAGGCAAUACAUUUAUAAAAUAUGUCUAUAAAAUUUGUGAAAUAUUAAUGAGAUGUAAGUCAAGAAAAGAUAAUGAACAACUAGUCAUGAUCUUUCUCGACCACAGGAUCAUGACCCUCAAUUUUAGCCUCAUCAAACUCUUCUU